GGCUAAUAGCACCAGCUGCUUUCCAUUGCUCUAAGGAGUGAUUCUACUGCGGCAACGAGUCCAAAUACAACGAAAGUAUUGAUGCUGCAAAAGAAGACGGAUCUUUUGGUAGGCUGGUUAAUGAUGACCACAAGCACCCAAAUGGCAGAAUGCAGAAGACUGAAGUGGAUGGAAGCCCACAUCUUGGUCUGUUUGCUUUAACAGACUUUAAAGAAGGUGAUGAAAUUACCUACAAUUACGGAGGAGGAGACUGGCCUUGGUGUAGCAAGGUAUGCAGGGUAUCUCCCUCUCUGUUUUCACAAUUUAAAAAUUAUUCAAAAAUAAACAUUGUCUUAUCCGGCAGUGUUGCAAUUC
ensembl:lncRNA